UGACCUGGCGGCAGGCCUACACAUGCAAGUCGAGCGGAAACGAGAUAUCUGAACCUUCGGGGAACGAUAUCGGCGUCGAGCGGCGGACGGGUGAGUAAUGCCUGGGAAAUUGCCCUGAUGUGGGGGAUAACCAUUGGAAACGAUGGCUAAUACCGCAUAAUAGCUUCGGCUCAAAGAGGGGGACCUUCGGGCCUCUCGCGUCAGGAUAUGCCCAGGUGGGAUUAGCUAGUUGGUGAGGUAAGGGCUCACCAAGGCGACGAUCCCUAGCUGGUCUGAGAGGAUGAUCAGCCACACUGGAACUGAGACACGGUCCAGACUCCUACGGGAGGCAGCAGUGGGGAAUAUUGCACAAUGGGCGCAAGCCUGAUGCAGCCAUGCCGCGUGUGUGAAGAAGGCCUUCGGGUUGUAAAGCACUUUCAGUCGUGAGGAAGGUAGUGUGUUUAAUAGAUGCAUUAUUUGACGUUAGCGACAGAAGAACACCGGCUACUNCGUGCCACAGCCCGCGGUAUACCGAGGGUGCAGCGUUAAUCGGAAUACUGGGCGUAAAGCCCUGCAGGUGGU
rnacentral:rRNA from 1 species